rnacentral:rRNA from 1 species
UACGUGUGAGGCAAGCGUUAUUCGUCUUUAAUGGGUCUAAAGGGCGCGUAGGCGGUUCGUACAGUCAGACGUGAAAUUCCUGGGCUCAACCUGGGGGCUGCGUUUGAUACGUGCGGACUUGAGUGCGGAAGAGGGUCGUGGAAUUCCCAGUGUAGAGGUGAAAUUCGUAGAUAUUGGGAAGAACACCGGUGGCGAAGGCGGCGACCUGGUCCGAUACUGACGCUGAGGCGCGAAAGCGUGGGGAGCGAACAGG